GUAGGUGGCAAGCGUUGUCCGGAAUUAUUGGGCGUAAAGCGCGCGCAGGCGGUUUUUUAAGUCUGAUGUGAAAGCCCACGGCUCAACCGUGGAGGGUCAUUGGAAACUGGAGAACUUGAGUACAGAAGAGGAAAGCGGAAUUCCACGUGUAGCGGUGAAAUGCGUAGAGAUGUGGAGGAACACCAGUGGCGAAGGCGGCUUUCUGGUCUGUAACUGACGCUGAGGCGCGAAAGCGUGGGGAGCAAACAGGGAUUAGAUACCCUGGUAGUCCACGCCGUAAACGAUGAGUGCUAAGUGUUAGGGGGGUUUCCGCCCCCUUAGUGCUGCAGCUAACGCAUUAGCACUCCGCCUGGGGAGUACGGCCGCAAGGCUG
rnacentral:rRNA from 1 species